AGACCCGAAACCCGGUGAUCUAGCCAUGGGCAGGUUGAAGGUUGGGUAACACUAACUGGAGGACCGAACCGACUAAUGUUGAAAAAUUAGCGGAUGACCUGUGGCUGGGGGUGAAAGGCCAAUCAAACCGGGAGAUAGCUGGUUCUCCCCGAAAGCUAUUUAGGUAGCGCCUCGUGAAUUCAUCUCCGGGGGUAGAGCACUGUUUCGGCUAGGGGGCCAUCCCGGCUUACCAACCCGAUGCAAACUGCGAAUACCGGAGAAUGUUAUCACGGGAGACACACGGCGGGUGCUAACGUCCGUCGUGAAGAGGGAAACAACCCAGACCGCCAGCUAAGGUCCCAAAGUCAUGGUUAAGUGGGAAACGAUGUGGGAAGGCCCAGACAGCCAGGAUGUUGGCUUAGAAGCAGCCAUCAUUUAAAGAAAGCGUAAUAGCUCACUGGUCGAGUCGGCCUGCGCGGAAGAUGUAACGGGGCUAAACCAUGCACCGAAGCUGCGGCAGCGAACGUAUCACUUAAAGCGAUUCAGCGGGUUACGAUUGACGGAGCGAAGCGACGUCAAAGCGUAUACAAAGUCGAGUCGGUUUAAGGAUACGUUCGUUGGGUAGGGGAGCGUUCUGUAAGCCUGUGAAGGUGUGUCGUGAGGCAUGCUGGAGGUAUCAGAAGUGCGAAUGCUGACAUAAGUAACGAUAAAGCGGGUGAAAAGCCCGCUCGCCGGAAGACCAAGGGUUCCUGUCCAACGUUAAUCGGGGCAGGGUGAGUCGACCCCUAAGGCGAGGCCGAAAGGCGUAGUCGAUGGGAAACGGGUUAAUAUUCCCGUACUUGGUGUUACUGCGAAGGGGGGACGGAGAAGGCUAUGUUGGCCGGGCGACGGUUGUCCCGGUUUAAGCGUGUAGGUGUGUGUUCCAGGUAAAUCCGGUUCACUUUAACACUGAGGCGUGAUGACGAGGCACUACGGUGCUGAAGCAACAAAUGCCCUGCUUCCAGGAAAAGCCUCUAAGCAUCAGGUAACAUCAAAUCGUACCCCAAACCGACACAGGUGGUCAGGUAGAGAAUACCAAGGCGCUUGAGAGAACUCGGGUGAAGGAACUAGGCAAAAUGGUGCCGUAACUUCGGGAGAAGGCACGCUGACAUGUAGGUGAAGUGAUUUACUCAUGGAGCUGAAGUCAGUCGAAGAUACCAGCUGGCUGCAACUGUUUAUUAAAAACACAGCACUGUGCAAACACGAAAGUGGACGUAUACGGUGUGACGCCUGCCCGGUGCCGGAAGGUUAAUUGAUGGGGUCAGCGCAAGCGAAGCUCCUGAUCGAAGCCCCGGUAAACGGCGGCCGUAACUAUAACGGUCCUAAGGUAGCGAAAUUCCUUGUCGGGUAAGUUCCGACCUGCACGAAUGGCGUAAUGAUGGCCAGGCUGUCUCCACCCGAGACUCAGUGAAAUUGAACUCGCUGUGAAGAUGCAGUGUACCCGCGGCAAGACGGAAAGACCCCGUGAACCUUUACUAUAGCUUGACACUGAACAUUGAGCCUUGAUGUGUAGGAUAGGUGGGAGGCUUUGAAGCGUGGACGCCAGUCUGCGUGGAGCCGACCUUGAAAUACCACCCUUUAAUGUUUGAUGUUCUAACGUGGAUCCGUAAUCCGGGUUGCGGACAGUGUCUGGUGGGUAGUUUGACUGGGGCGGUCUCCUCCUAAAGAGUAACGGAGGAGCACGAAGGUUGGCUAAUCCUGGUCGGACAUCAGGAGGUUAGUGCAAUGGCAUAAGCCAGCUUGACUGCGAGCGUGACGGCGCGAGCAGGUGCGAAAGCAGGUCAUAGUGAUCCGGUGGUUCUGAAUGGAAGGGCCAUCGCUCAACGGAUAAAAGGUACUCCGGGGAUAACAGGCUGAUACCGCCCAAGAGUUCAUAUCGACGGCGGUGUUUGGCACCUCGAUGUCGGCUCAUCACAUCCUGGGGCUGAAGUAGGUCCCAAGGGUAUGGCUGUUCGCCAUUUAAAGUGGUACGCGAGCUGGGUUUAGAACGUCGUGAGACAGUUCGGUCCCUAUCUGCCGUGGGCGCUGGAGAACUGAGGGGGGCUGCUCCUAGUACGAGAGGACCGGAGUGGACGCAUCACUGGUGUUCGGGUUGUCAUGCCAAUGGCACUGCCCGGUAGCUAAAUGCGGAAGAGAUAAGUGCUGAAAGCAUCUAAGCACGAAACUUGCCCCGAGAUGAGUUCUCCCUGAGACUUAGAGUCUCCUGAAGGAACGUUGAAGACGACGACGUUGAUAGGCCGGGUGUGUAAGCGCAGCGAUGCGUUGAGCUAA
rnacentral:rRNA from 1 species